rnacentral:lncRNA from 1 species
CUUUAUUUUUCUAUGUUAAUCCGGAGGCCUUUUUCACAUGCACACAUUUUUAACAUAAUUGGAAUAGUAUCCAUCGGGUUGGCAGAGUUUUCUCUAAAGGGCCAGAUCGUAAAUAUUUUAGAUUUUGAGGGCCAUGUGGUCUGGCACCACUACUCAGCUCUGCCUUUGUAGCUCCAAAGCAGUCUUAGAGGCUACGGAAACGAACAGGUGUGGCUGUGUGCCAAGUAUACGAUUUAGGGAAAUAGGUGGUAGGCCCUCAGGCCUUAUUUUGAAGGCCCCUGAUGUACAUAAUUCAUUGUGAUCUGUCUUGUUCUUUUGUCAUACGAAUAUUUUCUGAGUAAUCAUCAAAAUUCUUUUUAACAUUUCCAUGUAUUGGUGAAAUCAUUUUCCUGUUCUUGGACAUUUUUGUGUUACCCAGUUUUGUUUGUGCUAUUAUAUUAAUCUUUAUAUUGUUAAUGUUUUAAGUAGCAGUUUAUCAGACUUGUUUUUGUUUAUAUAAUUUUAAAAUCUUGAUUGCAUUUUUAAGAAUAGUUUUAUUCUGGAACAAAACUUUUUCCACUGGAAUAUUUCCUUGGUUUUAAAAUAGUCUGUGGACAGAUAGAAUUCACUGAAUAGAGUGUUUUAACAUCAAACUUUUAGUGCAUCCAUGUUACAUGCAGGCCAUCUAAGUUGUACUAUAGCUGUUUAAUCAAGAAAUUUGAGUAAGUUUCCUUCAGCUGCAUCCAGGUGGUUGUAGGCUGCUCUUUCUUUGGAGGGUCUCCUUCCUUGUUUGUAUGUAUUCAACUGGCCCUGGAGAGCAUGCUUUGAAGGAGCACUCCUCACUUGUUUUCGUGCGUCUUCUCUCCUGCUGCCUCCACUGUAGUUCGGGAAUUACCGUGUACCUUCGAAGAGCACUUGGAAGUGACACACCACUUUCACACUUCGACGCUUCCCCUCACACUGAUUCUGAAUGACAGUCUCUUGCAAGUGAACCUGCAGCUAGGUCCCAUGGCCCUUCCAAUUUUGAGUCCCCGACUCUGCUCGGCUGCGGCUUCCAAGAAGUGAAAGUUCGUUAGCAUCUACCCUGAAGACGCUGCUCUUCUUCACAGCUUUAAUGAUCACUGUACCUAUUGGCUUAUAUUUCACAACUAAAUCUUACAUU